AUGUCAUUUCACUCGAUUACCAUCCUGAUAGUUUUUUCUUCUUCUUUGUUGCAGUUUUCCGACAAUUUUGCUAUCCUGUUAUUCCACUAUGAUGGCCAUGUGACCGAAUGGGACGAAUUUGAGUGCUCAAAGCGAGCCAUCCAUAUCAGUGUCAGCAAACAAACUAAAUGGUGUGCUACUAUGCUGCAAUGUGCUGGCUAUUCCUCUGAUUGUAAUUUGGAAUCAAUCUUCUUCUAA
rnacentral:rRNA from 1 species